UGAACUCUAAUUUUCAUUUAGCAGUAUGUCCAUUUCAGUACACUAACACAUUAAUCUAAAAGAAGUCAUGUACAUUUCGACAAAGAUAAUCACAGAAUCAUACUUAUACCUAAAGAUUGACCAUAAUGUAAUACGAUGAACUUUGAACAAUUUCGAAACAAAGAAAGAAAAAGAAACAAGAACAUCAUGCCUAUUAUACUGCUCUCAUUUAAACAGAACCGAGUUUUACAUCAUUUUUAUUUGAUUAGCGAGAUACCUGGUCACAUCAAUCGUACAGAAGAUAAUAGACUUCUAAUACUUGAAAGGAAGUUGCAGCAACCAAAUAACGACAGAGAAGAUAUGAAUCGAGCCCAGCCAAUCGCAAAAUCGACUGCAAAAAUCUACAGGAAUCAAACGGAAAAUCCCCAACCUCGAGGACCAGAAAUCAACUCAAUCCAAACUCAUUUUUUUGACAAAACCAGAAUCAACAAAGAAUGCAAAAAAAACGUUUUUGUGCUUUUCUCUGAUUUUUCUUUUGAAAAUGAAACUCGAAUGAAGAAACAAACUCAUACCAUUUUUUUUCGUUUUCGAACAAAGGGUGUCGAAUCAGAGAAGAGAAGGAUUCAGAAGAAGAAAAACUUCAUAACCCUAGAAAUUUACUACUAAAUUUUUUUUCUGAAGAUCAUUUUUCAAUUUUUUGUUUCUUCUCCUUUUUUUGCACAUAGAACUUACCUCAUAUAUAUAGCCUUCGAACUCCAAAAUCUGCCCAAAAAUCCGAAAAUCUUUCAAAUAUUUGAACAAUUUUUGGGACAAAUGGAGGGCGUGGAUCGAUUUAUAUCUAUCCACGGCUCCCAUUCAUCCAACAAAUUGUCCUUUUUGUACAGAAAUCGUGCGAUUUAGGAGAGAAUAUUCGAAUUCCUUCUGACAAAAAUCUUUGGGAAUCAAAUGACGUGGAGGGGGGGACCAUUUUGGGUGAACUCGGAAACGAGUUAUGGCGAGUCAAAGAGGAAGACGAUGAAGGAGCAGUGGGGUGCGCCAUGUCUGAGGUUCUCU
rnacentral:lncRNA from 1 species